ensembl:lncRNA
GGAUGCCGGUCGGGAGCAGAGGAAACAAAGCUGCUCCAGCGCGCGCCGCCCGGGCAGCCGCGUGGCAAGUCCCUGCACCGCGGCUCCCUCCGACAUGCCCAAACCUUCUAAGGAGCCCCGCGCCUCUCGGCCGGGCGGCGGCGGCGCGCGGGGCCCACGCUCGGAGGAGGGCCGGGCCGGGUAGGGCGUGCAGGUACUUUCAUGCGGACGCCCACGCGUACGCCAAGUGGGUGUUUAGCUGGGGGCGAAGCCUGGGCAUUCCAUGCGUUUACAUUCUUCCCGAGGAAGGCAGGUGCCCUUGAGAGCCUUCCUAGGCAUUCUUGGUGCUGAGCGGCCCCCUAAGUCCACUCUCGCUCCCUGUGCACUCUACAUGCAUCUCUGGCACACUUUCAUCUUCACACGCAGCACACAUCUUCACACGCCCCUUGGAACUGGCGGGCAAAGUCUCACUUAAAAUUCAUGGACCAGCCAAAUCGCAUUUUUCUUCUCCGCCCCCUCCCGCCCCAAAGAUAAUUUGGAACAUCAUGAGAACUAGGUAGCAGAUAUAAACAUCAGAGCAGGUAGUUAACUGGGCCUCUUAUGGCAUUUUUUAACUAGCUUCUAAAUAACUUGGCUUUAGCAUGAGCUACAUGUAUUUCUUUAAAAAUCUACCUUUUAAAAGCUCCUCAUAGGAUUCCUGUGAGAUUGGCAAAGAAAAACAGAUAUUGUCUCCAGUUUGUGAAUAGAAAAGUUGAGGCUCAAAGAGGUAACACUUGUUUGUCCUGCAGUAUUUCACACAUGCUUAGUAAAGGCAGGCAUGAAACAUCCUCCUCACUGGGGUGCCCCAGAGCUGAAUUCCAUGGAAACUGUUGACUCUAGUCCACCACAGUUCAGUGGAGAACGUCCCUGUCAGUGUUACAGGGCUCUGCUGCAGGACAUUUGACUUAGAAACGGAUGCACAGCAUCCAAAUACCCCUGCAGCUCCCCAGCCCGGAAUCCCUGCUCCCACCUCCCGCCCCCACCGGCCGUCUCCACAGCCCUCACAUUAUUUUCUGGCCAGGGCCAUCCCCGAGGUCAAAGUUCUCCCCAUUUGCUACAGAAGGACGUCCCAUAGUUAGGUCCCCCACCCCUACAGUCACUGCCAUCAACAGAGCCCCGAUCAGGGGACCCACCCACUUUCCCACUUGGCUCCUGCAGGCGUCUGGUCCUGGGAAUGCUUGGGGGGCUGCCCAGCUUCCAUAAGGUCCACCUGUGUCCUGCCUCCCUUCCCACUUCCCUGUCCAGUGCUGGUGCCACUGGAAUCUGGUGCUCCGGGCAACUGCAAAUAGGGUCUCACUAUGCUUUAGAUUAAAUGGGAAUGCAUGGGCUAAACUGGGAGGAUAGCCACAACCAAUAACAUCAUUUCUACGAGAAAACGAAUUCUGCUUCCAAACAACCAAUUUACAAAUUCACUUUAGGAUCCUGAUGUGUUCAUAAGUUGCAGAAUCCCUGUGAUAGAACCUGAAUGAAUAACUAUUUUGUUCAGCAAAGUUGACCGCUUAUUAAAUAUUACUUGUUGAAAAGAAAGCACGGCCAUUAAAAAGGCAGAUAGUGUAUUUCCUUUGCGAAUUCUUGUUUGGGCUAUUUUCAUGUGAAACCAGAUCUCUGUGACUCUGUUUGCCCCUCACAUCUUGAACUGAAAAAAUCAGUGGCUUGGUGUUGAUUUUAAAACUUAUGGCCAGGCAUGGUGGCUCACACCUGUAAUCCCAGCACUUUGGGAAGCUGAGGCUGGUGGAUCACUUGAGGUCAGGAGUUCAUGACUAGCCUGGCCAACAUGGUGAAACCCUGUCUCUACCAAAAAUGCAAAAAUUAGCCAGGCAUGGUGGCUUGAGCCUGUAAUCCCAGCUACUCUGGAGGCUGAGGCAGAAGACUCGCUUGAACCCCGGAGGUGGAGGUUGCAGUGAGCCAAGAUCACCACUGCACUCCAACUUGGGCAACACAGGGAGACUCUGUUUCAGGAAAAAAAAAAAAAAAAAAAA